UACGGGGGGGGCAAGCGUUGUCCGGAAUCAUUGGGCGUAAAGCGCGUGUAGGCGGUUCGGUAAGUCUGCUGUGAAAGUCCAGGGCUCAACCCUGGGAUGCCGGUGGAUACUGUCGAACUAGAGUACGGAAGAGGCGAGUGGAAUUCCCGGUGUAGCGGUGAAAUGCGCAGAUAUCGGGAAGGAACACCAAUUGCGAAGGCAGCUCGCUGGGACGUCACUGACGCUGAGACGCGAAAGCGUGGGGAGCAACGGGG
rnacentral:rRNA from 1 species